rnacentral:rRNA from 1 species
CAUAACCAAAGGACGUGGAUAAACUCGGGAAACUGAGGCUAAACCGCGAUAGACCAAGAUACCUGGAAUGGUUUUUGAUUAAAAUCUAUAUGGCCUUUGGAUUAGACUGCGACCGAUCAGGCUGUUGGUGAGGUAAUGGCCCACCAAACCUGUAACCGGUACGGGCUCUGAGAGGAGGAGCCCGGAGAUGGGUACUGAGACAAGGACCCAGGCCCUAUGGGGCGCAGCAGGCGCGAAACCUCUGCAAUAGGCGAAAGCCUGACAGGGUUAUUCUGAGUGACUUUCGCUAAGAAAGUCUUUUGACACCUCUAAAAAUGGUGUAGAAUAAGGGGUGGGCAAGUCUGGUGUCAGCCGCCGCGGUAAUACCAGCACCCCGAGUGGUCGGGACGAUUAUUGGGCCUAAAGCAUCCGUAGCCGGUUUUACAAGUCCUCCGUUAAAUCCAACUGCUUAACAGAUGGGCCGCGGAGGAUACUAUAAGACUAGGAGGCAGGAGAGGCAAGCGGUACUCAGU